UACGUAGGGUGCAAGCGUUGUUCGGAAUUAUUGGGCGUAAAGGGCUCGUAGGCGGUUUGUCGCGUCGGGAGUGAAAUCCACUGGCUUAACUGGUGGCUUGCUUUCGAUACGGGCAGACUGGAGGUAUGCAGGGGAGAACGGAAUUCCUGGUGUAGCGGUGAAAUGCGCAGAUAUCAGGAGGAACACCGGUGGCGAAGGCGGCUAUCUGGGCUGAAAACUGACGCUGAGGCGCGAAGGCUAGGGGAGCAAACAGG
rnacentral:rRNA from 1 species